rnacentral:rRNA from 1 species
AUUGAACGCUGGCGGCAUGCCUUACACAUGCAAGUCGAACGGUAACAGGUCUUCGGAUGCUGACGAGUGGCGAACGGGUGAGUAAUACAUCGGAACGUGCCUAGUAGUGGGGGAUAACUACUCGAAAGAGUGGCUAAUACCGCAUGAGAUCUACGGAUGAAAGCAGGGGAUCGCAAGACCUUGUGCUACUAGAGCGGCCGAUGGCAGAUUAGGUAGUUGGUGGGAUAAAAGCUUACCAAGCCGACGAUCUGUAGCUGGUCUGAGAGGACGAUCAGCCACACGGGGACUGAGAAACGGCCCAGCCUCCUACGGGAGGCAGCAGUGGGGAAUUUUGGACAAUGGGCGCAAGCCUGAUCCAGCAAUGCCGCGUGCAGGAUGAAGGCCUUCGGGUUGUAAACUGCUUUUGUACGGAACGAAAAGCCCCGGGUUAAUACCCUGGGGUCAUGACGGUACCGUAAGAAUAAGCACCGGCUAACUACGUGCCAGCAGCCGCAGUAA